AGGUCUUCCAUAACAAGCCCUAAGUCUGUGUCAGUCUCUCCUUCCUUCUCCUGUUGAGCCAGGAGGAGAGACUGACACAGACUCAGGGCUUGUUAUGGAAAACCU